GAUGAAGAACGCAGUGAAAUGCGAUACGUAGUGUGAAUUGCAGAAUUCAGUGAAUCAUCGAAUCUUUGAACGCACAUUGCACCUCUCGGUAUUCCGGGAGGUAUGCCUGUUCGAGCGUCAUUUGUACCCUCAAGCUCUGCUUGGUGUUGGGUGUUUGUUCCGCCUCUGUGUGUGAACUCGCCUCAAAACAAUUGGCAGCCGGCGUACUUGUUUCGGAGCGCAGCACAUUUUGCGAUCCAGAUCAACGUACAGCGGCAUCCAAGAAGCCUUAUUUAACGCUCUUGACCUCGGAUCAGGUAGGGAUACCCGCUGAACUUAAGCAUAUCAAUAAGAGGA
rnacentral:misc_RNA from 1 species